AACGCUGGCGGCGUGCCUAAUACAUGCAAGUCGAGCGAACCGAUGAAGAGCUUGCUCUUCAAAGGUGAGCGGCGGACGGGUGAGUAACACGUGGGCAACCUGCCUGCAAGAUCGGGAUAACUCCGGGAAACCGGGGCUAAUACCGGAUAAUGCAUUUCGCUGCAUGGCGGAAUGCUAAAAAGGCGGCUUCGGCUGUCACUUGCAGAUGGGCCCGCGGCGCAUUAGCUAGUUGGGGAGGUAACGGCUCCCCAAGGCGACGAUGCGUAGCCGACCUGAGAGGUGAUCGGCCACACUGGGACUGAGACACGGCCCAGACUCCUACGGGAGGCAGCAGUAGGGAAUUUUCCGCAAUGGGCGCAAGCCUGACGGAGCAAACCGCCGCGUGAGUGAGGACGGUCUUUCGGGUUAGUAAAACUCUGUUCUUCGGGAAGAACGGCGGUCGGGUGAAUAGCCCGAUUGCGUGACGGUACCGAAGGAGAAACGCCCCGGCUAACUACGUGCCAGCCGCCGC
rnacentral:rRNA from 1 species